rnacentral:rRNA from 1 species
AUUUGUCUGGUUAAUUCCGAUAACGAACGAGACCUUAACCUGCUAACUAGAUCUUAUUAUCUUAUAAUUUGCAUCUUCUUAGAGGGACUAUGUAAUCUAAAUACAUGGAAGUUUGAGGCAAUAACAGGUCAGUGAUGCCCUUAUAUGUCCUGGGCUGCACGCGUGCUACACUGAUGCAUACAACAAGUGCCUAACCAGACAUGGUAUGGCAAUCUCGAAUAUGCAUCGUGAUGGGGAUAGAUCUUUGCAAUUAUAGAUCUUGAACGAGGAAUUCCUAGUAAGUGCAAGUCAUCAUCUUGCAUUGAUUAUGUCCCUGCCCUUUGUACACACCGCCCGUCGCUCCUACCGAUACCGGGUGAUCCGGUGAACCUUUUGGACUCUUUAUGGGAAAGAUAAGUAAACCAUAUCACCUAGAGGAAGGAGAAGUCGUAACAAGGUUUCCGUAGGUGAACCUGCRGAAGGAUCA